GUUUCCGUAGGUGAACCUGCGGAAGGAUCAUUACCGAGUGAGGGCCCUCUGGGUCCAACCUCCCACCCGUGUUUAUUUUACCUUGUUGCUUCGGCGGGCCCGCCUUAACUGGCCGCCGGGGGGCUUACGCCCCCGGGCCCGCGCCCGCCGAAGACACCCUCGAACUCUGUCUGAAGAUUGAAGUCUGAGUGAAAAUAUAAAUUAUUUAAAACUUUCAACAACGGAUCUCUUGGUUCCGGCAUCGAUGAAGAACGCAGCGAAAUGCGAUACGUAAUGUGAAUUGCAAAUUCAGUGAAUCAUCGAGUCUUUGAACGCACAUUGCGCCCCCUGGUAUUCCGGGGGGCAUGCCUGUCCGAGCGUCAUUGCUGCCCUCAAGCCCGGCUUGUGUGUUGGGCCCCGUCCCCCGAUCUCCGGGGGACGGGCCCGAAAGGCAGCGGCGGCACCGCGUCCGGUCCUCGAGCGUAUGGGGCUUUGUCACCCGCUCUGUAGGCCCGGCCGGCGCUUGCCGAUCAACCCAAAUUUUUAUCCAGGUUGACCUCGGAUCAGGUAGGGAUACCCGCUGAACUUAAG
rnacentral:rRNA from 1 species